rnacentral:sRNA from 1 species
AAUUUUCACUAUAUGAGCCUAAACAAAUUUCCCAUCAGAACUUCCUUUCACGGUCUUACAUGUAUGUAGUUACAUGUCCUACUGUUCAACAAUGAUUUUUAUAACGUAAUAAAGAAAAGUCGAAGCUAUAAGCUAUUAAAGGACUCUAAGUCCAUGUUUUGCUCCUUUUAGACACUUAAUAUCAACCUUAGUCUAAGACACAACAUAUGUCUUAUAGCUUCAGGUCUGCUUAUGGUGAAUGUGUAAUUCAGUUCAAUUCCCCUAAAACACAAACAUGUCGUUGCAGCUAUAGGGGGUGUCAAUCCAGUCCACUGUAUUGCUAGCAAUCAAGAUGUGUACAGAAACAACUAAGUCAAGCCAGAUUAUAAUGAUGGUGGGUUUCUAGUAACAAUCCUAGGUCAGGAUUCAAACAAGUGAAAGAAAGAGAACUUAAGAGCCCUACUCGAUCAUUGGGUCGAGUAGAACCAACAGACAACAAAAUUAAAUAACCUAAAUGCAAUCAACAGGGGAUACAAAUAGGGGAUACAAAUAACAGGUAAAUAAAAGUGCAAUCAACAUGAGAUACAAAUAAAUCUAAUAGAAGUUCUAAGGAUGGAUUCAUUGAUAAGGGCAACUCUAGGGUUCAUCAGAUGGCUAAUAGGCGAAAGGUAGAUACCCAUGACGAUAGAUUCAAAAAUCGGGUCAAUCCACUCUCGUGACAGAGACCCCCAUAACUCUACCACUUCCUAAUCUCAACUCUCGUUGAUGAAACAUGAAAGAACGGGGUUUAAGAAACAAUCAACCAAAGUCAAUAGGCAGACAAGCCAAUCCCUUGGUCGAGUCUACAAAUCUCUGGAAUUCGUAGGUCAGACAUCCAUUUGAACGUCUUUUGGACGCUGGACGUCUAUGAUCGAAUCUCCACAUUAGCAAGCGAUAAUCGCAUAGGGGCCAAGCGAAUCCAGAAGGGUAUAAACCUAAACACUAACCACCUAAUUAACCUAGAGAUUACCCUAAUCUAAUCCAUCCUCAAGAUUCCUAAUCACUACUCAAGCAACAUUCUCAAUAACACAAACCCAGAAGUUACUAAAAUCAUACCAAAAUGUAGAUCUAAACAAGCUAAGCAACUUUACUUAA